AGUGAUCUUUCCGUGGGAAUGCGGCAAGGAGUCAGCAGGCAUAGUGAAAAUGGGCGGCGAUGGAUACUCCCAGCACUUGCUGAGCACUGCUACGCCUCAGGACUGGGACAGAGAGAACCAUUCUCUGCUUUCAAUAGGACAGAAGAGCUCCUUGGCACUGGAUGCCUCCGGGUCUGGUUGAGAGAGGAAUGGUUAGGAGACUGUUCUGAGGAUACGCAGACAUCAUCCAAAGCUUCCUACAUUCAGAUGAGGACAGAGGUUGGGCCAGAGCUUUGUAAGCUUGUUACCUAAGGAUGGUUCUGACCAUGUAAGCAGAUCACAGAAGGCCAAACUGGUGACAACUGGUCUAGCGGUUGGACUUUGGAUUAUUAAAAAAUAUUUUGCAAGAAAUAAGCUUGGCUUAUGUGAACCAACAAUGAGAUAACCUCCUUUGCUGGAGGCAAAGGAUGCCAAGAUGGGAAAGCCACAUAAUGGAAGGAUCCUGGAUUUCAGAGCUGUCACUUGGAGGAGGGGCACCCAGUGAAGGUGUCUUAUCUAACCCACACCAUAUCUUCAUGAAGUGGCCAUAUGGAUUUGAUCCCUAUCCUUCAGAGGUGCUCAGCCUAAGGGAACACGGAUAGUAGAUUAAGCACUGACCAGGCAUGAAGAAACUGAAGCAUGGAGGAAAAACUUAGCAACUAGCCCAACGUCACACAGGCACCUUUCUCUUUACUCAUUGGACUCAGAGCCAGCCUUGACAAUGUGCUGAUGGCAACCUAGAACAUAAGCAGAGGAGUAUACAGGACAAGAACUUGAUGGUCUCGGGAA
ensembl:lncRNA PROX1-AS1 PROX1 antisense RNA 1